GACGAACGCUGGCGGCGUGCUUAACACGUGCAAGUCGAACGGAAAAGCCCUGCUUUUGUGGGGUGCUCGAGUGGCGAACGGGUGAGUAACACGUGAGUAACCUGCCCUUGACUUUGGGAUAACUUCAGGAAACUGGGGCUAAUACCGGAUAGGAGCUCCUGCUGCAUGGUGGGGGUUGGAAAGUUUCGGCGGUUGGGGAUGGACUCGCGGCUUAUCAGCUUGUUGGUGGGGUAGUGGCUUACCAAGGCUUUGACGGGUAGCCGGCCUGAGAGGGUGACCGGCCACAUUGGGACUGAGAUACGGCCCAGACUCCUACGGGAGGCAGCAGUGGGGAAUAUUGCACAAUGGGCGGAAGCCUGAUGCAGCAACGCCGCGUGCGGGAUGACGGCCUUCGGGUUGUAAACCGCUUUCGCCUGUGACGAAGCGUGAGUGACGGUAAUGGGUAAAGAAGCACCGGCUAACUACGUG
rnacentral:rRNA from 1 species